AUGGGUAUUUGGGAUAAGGAGCUCGUUCAGAACUGUUUUCAUCAAGACGAUGUGCAAGCGAUUCUUUGCAUCCCCAUCAGUGAGUAUGGAGACGACUUUCUAGCUUGGCACUUUGACAACAAGGGCCUUCUUUCUGUCAAGAAAGGUGUUGACCUGGACACAAGAUGCGCAGUAUGUGGGAAAUUUUUUGAGGAUGGUGAUCCCGUGAGUAUGUCAAACAACGCUGAGAGUUUGGCCCUAUUCAAUGCAAUUAUUGUUGCUGAUCAGCUUCGGGCCGAGGUUGUCCAUGCUGGACAUAAUUGUAACAAGCCAGCGCAUGUGCUGGCCGACAUGGGUGCAGGGUUAGCUGUUGGUGAAGCGUGUUUGUGGAUUGAUAAUUUCCCUGUUGAUGUAACCCGUGUUGUAACCGCCAAUUUUGUCAUUUAA
rnacentral:rRNA from 1 species